rnacentral:rRNA from 1 species
CCAAGUUGUAAUCUCAACCAUGUACGCGAUCUGGGAGUUGCGCCCCAGCAUAUAAACACGCAGCCGUCGGUCAGACGAAGACACGACGUUAACCUAAAGAGUUUUACAUGGUAUCAGCCUAACUCUUCCACAUCGCAUCUCCUAUCCCCAUCCACCACCUCCGCCUCCACCAUGGCCGCCUCCUCCAGCGCCGCACCAACCAACCUCUCUGGUCAGGUCACCGAGAAGCUGACACGCACCAACUACAUCCUCUGGCGGACUCAAGUCACGCCGCAGCUUCGUGGUGCUGGCUUCUACGGGUAUGUCGACGGCUCCAUGCCGGAGCCGGCCCGACUCGUCGUCACCAAGGACAAAGAAGGGAAGGAGGAGACUUCCCUGAACCCCCUUCAUCCGAUCUGGAUGCGCGAAGAGCAGCAGGUACUUGGCUACCUUCUGAAUAAUCUCUCCAAGGAGGUACUUGUGCAGGUCACCACGAUCGAUCAUGCGCAAGAUCUCUGGACAGCCCUGGCGAACAUGUUCUCGUCCCAGUCUCUGUCACGCGUCAACAACAUCCGUGUCGCCCUCGCCAAUGCGCAGAAGGGGACGCAGCCCGUCGCCGGCUUCUUCGGGCACAUGCGCUCACUCUCAGAUGAGCUCGCGGCGGCUGGCAAGCCGCUCGGGGAUGGUGAACUCGUCUCCUACAUCAUCGCCGCCCUCUACAUGGAGUACCAGCCACUCGUCUCCGUGCUCGAUGCCCGCACCAC